rnacentral:rRNA from 1 species
AUUGAACGCUGGCGGCAGGCUUAACACAUGCAAGUCGAGCGAGCGGCGGACGGGUGGGUAAGGUCUGGGCAACUGCCUGAUGGAGGGGGAUAACUAGUGGAAACGGUAGCUAAUAGCGCAUACCAUCAGUUCGGGUCAGGUGGGAUUAGCUAGUAGGUGGGGUAAUGGCUCACCUAGGCGACGAUUCCUAGCUGGUCUGAGAGGAUGACCAGCCACACUGGGACUGAGACACGGUCCAGACUCCUACGGGAGGCAGCAGUGGGGAAUAUUGCACAAUGGGCGCAAGCCUGAUGCAGCCAUGCCGCGUGUGUGAAGAAGGCCUUCGGGUUGUAAAGCACUUUCAUCGAGGAGGCGGUACUCGCAGAAGAAGCAACGGCUAACUCCGUGCCAGCAGCCGCGGUAAUAC